ACGAACGCUGGCGGCAUGCCUAACACAUGCAAGUCGAACGAGACCUUCGGGUCUAGUGGCGCACGGGUGCGUAACGCGUGGGAAUCUGCCCCUUGGUUCGGAAUAACUCAGAGAAAUUUGAGCUAAUACCGGAUGAUGACGUAAGUCCAAAGAUUUAUCGCCAAGGGAUGAGCCCGCGUAGGAUUAGCUAGUUGGUGAGGUAAGGGCUCACCAAGGCGACGAUCCUUAGCUGGUCUGAGAGGAUGAUCAGCCACACUGGGACUGAGACACGGCCCAGACUCCUACGGGAGGCAGCAGUGGGGAAUAUUGGACAAUGGGCGAAAGCCUGAUCCAGCAAUGCCGCGUGAGUGAUGAAGGCCUUAGGGUUGUAAAGCUCUUUUACCCGGGAUGAUAAUGACAGUACCGGGAGAAUAAGCUCCGGCUAACUCCGU
rnacentral:rRNA from 1 species